CUGUAACUUCACAAGGAUUGGACUUAGGACAAUGGUCAAUAUGGAGUUUGUCUUUGACCACUUUUUUAUACGAUGCAACGGCUUCGAAAUACAGAAAUAUUUAAAUUCCGAAUUACAAAAAUAUUUAAAACACUUACGCCCUUCUCAAAUGUCAUUAUCGAGUGGAACUGGCUCCAUAUACACAAAAAUGGCUUAUAUAAGCGUAGGAUAAUAUGUCUAUAAAGUUUCAUUGAAAUCGGAGAGGGUCGGGUACAACCGAUUCCCUAUUUGGCAUGGAAUUGCUCUAC